rnacentral:tRNA from 1 species
UGGUGGUUCAGUGGUAGAAUGCUCGCCUGCCACGCGGGUGACCCGGGUUCGAUCCCCGGCCA